UUUUGAGGCACCAGGAGUAACACAGUUCCUCCAGUGUGGGACAAGUACAGCCGAUGAAUUUUUGCAAUAUGUUACGAUGCUUUCAAUAGAGCAGCGGAUGAGGGACUCCAACACUUUGAGCACUCGCAGGAGGUGCCUGUGAUGAUGUGAACACGACUACUGUGUACCCUGUGACUAUAUUUGUCAAAAUACUAUCUUGGAAAAACAACCUUCGGACUUAUUUCAUGGUACCAGACAUCACGUGAAACAAUAAGAAAUCUCGCCACUUCAAAGGCAGAUUAUCCCCGAAAGACAUCUCUUCGGACGACAAGGAAAACUGCACCGCCCGCAUCUAAUUACCUCAUCAUAUGGUGUCUGUGACGAAGGGAAAGGUGUGAAGCUGUGAUGCAGGACGGGAGAGGGAGGCAACCAAUGAGUCAGGAAAGAUUCUGUUCCAGCAAGAACUGAAGGUCAAAGGCAGACAGAUCCCACAGCGUUGUGACUACUGUGAUGCUACUGAGUCAACUCAAUGCAGGAUCAAUGCAUGUGGAGCAAGACAGGAUGGGACACUGUCAUCGUCAUGGAGGAAGAGAG